UGGAUCAGUGGCGAACGGGUGAGUAACACGUGAGCAAUCUGCCCCUGACUCUGGGAUAAGCGCUGGAAACGGCGUCUAAUACUGGAUACCAACCGUGGAGGCAUCUUCAACGGUUGGAAAGAUUUUUUGGUCAGGGAUGAGCUCGCGGCCUAUCAGCUUGUUGGUGAGGUAAUGGCUCACCAAGGCGUCAACGGGUAGCCGGCCUGAAAGGGUGACCGGCCACACUGGGACUGAAACACGGCCCAAACUCCUACGGGAGGCAGCAGUGGGGAAUAUUGCACAAUGGGCGAAAGCCUGAUGCACCAACGCCGCGUGAGGGAUGACGGCCUUCGGGUUGUAAACCUCUUUUAGCAGGGAAGAAGCGAAAGUGACGGUACCUGCAGAAAAAGCGCCGGCUAACUACAUGCCAGCAGCCGCGGUAAUACGUAGGGCGCAAGCGUUAUCCGGAAUUAUUGGGCGUAAAGAGCUCGUAUGCGGUUUGUCGCGUCUGCUGUGAAAUCCCGAGGCUCAACUUCAGGUCUGCAGUGGGUACGGGCAGACUAGAGUGCGGUAGGGGAGAUUGGAAUUCCUGGAGUAGCGGUGGAAUGCGCAUAUAUCAGGAGGAACACCGAUGGCGAAGGCAAAUCUCUGGGCCGUAACUGACGCUGAGGAGCGAAAGGGUGGGGAGCAAACAGGCUUAGAUACCCUGGUAGUCCACCCC
rnacentral:rRNA from 1 species